rnacentral:rRNA from 1 species
UGGGGAAUCUUGCACAAUGGGCGAAAGCCUGAUGCAGCGACGCCGCGUGGGGGAUGAAGCUUCUCGGAGUGUAAACCCCUUUCGACCCGGACGAAUGCCCCGCAAGGGGACUGACGGUACGGGUAUAAGAAGCCUCGGCUAACUACGUGCCAGCAGCCGCGGUAAGACGUAGGGGGCCAGCGUUGCUCGGAAUUACUGGGUGUAAAGGGUUCGUAGGCGGUGUGGCAAGUCGGGAGUGAAAUCUCUGGGCUCAACCCAGAGUCUGCUUCCGAAACUGCUGUGCUUGAGUGUGGGAGAGGCGCGUGGAAUUGCAGGUGUAGCGGUGAAAUGCGUAGAUAUCUGCAGGAACACCCGUGGCGAAAGCGGCGCGCUGGACCACUACUGACGCUGAGGAACGAAAGCUAGGGGAGCAAACAGGAUUAGAUACCCUGGUAGUCCUAGCCCUAAACGAUCAGGACUUGGGGUGCCACCCUUUCGGGUGUCGUCCCGGAGCUAACGCGUUAAGUCCUGCACCUGGGGAGUACGGUCGCAAGACUGA